rnacentral:lncRNA from 1 species
AAUUCAUAAAGUCAUACUGUAAAAUCAAUGAAAAGUACUUUAAAAAAUUGUAAAUUUCAUAUGUUGUGGUUACACUGAUCUUUUCUUUGAACAUUUCUGCUGUGAAAUUCUUUUUUUUAAUACAAUGAUUUAAUACCUGCAUUUGGAGACUUAAACUUCUUACAGAUGCUAAUUAAUUAAUUAGGCAAAUAGGUUUGAGGGUAGUUAUGAAGUAGUAAUUUCAGUUUGUGCUCUUCCAGUAACUCAGCAUGACUUUCACUCUCAUUUCUAGCAGAUAUUACAGUGAGAGAUGAGCAUUUCAGUUUGCAGCUGACAGUUUAGGGUUAAGAUAUGAUUCCAGGUAACAGAAGCCAAUGAGAGUACACCCAGUUGAUGUUUGUGACAUCAUCUUCCAGUCGGAGUACAUAGAACAGCUGAGGUAGCGUUCAGUUUCAGCCCCAGUGCCAUUAUGAUGGAUGUUUACAUCUCUUCAUUGAGAGCCAAUUAUCUCGCUUUUGUGUGAGGCCCAAGGAUCACUCAUGCUGCCUGGCUGCACAGAGCACUGUUGGAUCUAGCUGAACGAAUUGUUUUCUGUCUCUGUUUCAGAUGUGGUCUUGCUAAGUUGCCUAGGUGGGACUCCGAAUUGUGGUCCUUCGGUCUUAGCCACAAAGAGUGCUGGGAUUACAUGUGUGUGUGCCACUACACCCAGCCAGUCA